GACGAACGCUGGCGGCGUGCCUAAUACAUGCAAGUUGAGCGAUGAAGCUUGGUGUUUGCCCCAAUUUGAAGAGCAGCGAACGGGUGAGUAACGCGUGGGGAAUCUCCCUUUGAGCGGGGGACAACAGUUGGAAACGAAUUCUAAUACCGCAUAACAACUUUAAACAUAAGUUUUAAGUUUGAAAUAUGCAAUUGCAUCACUCUAAGGUGAUCCCGCGUUGUAUUAGCUAGUUGGGGAGGUAAAGGCUCACCAAGGCGAGGAUACAUAGCCGACCUGAGAGGGUGGUCGGCCACAUUGGGACGGAGACACGGCCCAAACGACUGCGGGAGGCAGCAGUAGGGAAUCUUCGGCAAUGGACGAAAGUCUGACCGAGCAACGCCGAGUGAGUGAAGAAGGUUUUCGGAUCGUAAAACUCUGUCGGUAGAGAAGAACGUUGGUGAGAGUGGAAAGCUCAUCAAGUGACGGUAACUACCCAGAAAGGGACGGCUAACUACGUG
rnacentral:rRNA from 1 species